rnacentral:tRNA from 1 species
GGCCCCGUAGCUCAGCUGGAUAGAGCAGCCGCCUUCUAAGCAGCAGGUCGCAGGUUCGAGCCCUGCCGGGGUCGCCA